rnacentral:rRNA from 1 species
AUACGGAGGAUCCGAGCGUUAUCCGGAUUUAUUGGGUUUAAAGGGUGCGCAGGCGGCCAUUUAAGUCAGCGGUUAAAUCGUGGGGCUCAACCCCAUUCUGCCGUUGAUACUGGGUGGCUUGAUUGCGGUCGAGGUUGGCGGAAUUCGUUGUGUAGCGGUGAAAUGCAUAGAUAUGACGAAGAACACCGAUUGCGUAGGCAGCUGACCAGACCGCAAAUGACGCUCAUGCACGAAAGUGCGGGGAUCGAACAGGAUUAGAUACCCUGGUAGUCCGCACAGUAAACGAUGAAUACUUGUUUUCGGCGAUAUAAUGUCGGAGGCAAAGCGAAAGUGAUAAGUAUUCCACCAGGGGAGUACGCCGGCAACGGUGAAACUCAAAUGAAUUGACGGGG